GUGCCAGCAGCCGCGGUGAUACGUAGGUGGCAAGCGUUAUCCGGAUUUAUUGGGCGUAAAGCGAGCGCAGGCGGUCUUUUAAGUCUAAUGUGAAAGCCUUCGGCUCAACCGAAGAAGUGCAUUGGAAACUGGGAGACUUGAGUGCAGAAGAGGACAGUGGAACUCCAUGUGUAGCGGUGAAAUGCGUAGAUAUAUGGAAGAACACCAGUGGCGAAGGCGGCUGUCUGGUCUGUAACUGACGCUGAGGCUCGAAAGCAUGGGUAGCGAACAGGAUUAGAUACCCUGGUAGUCCAUGCCGUAAACGAUGAUUACUAAGUGUUGGAAGGUUUCCGCCCUUCAGUGCUGCAGCUAACGCAUUAAGUAAUCCGCCUGGGGAGUACGACCGCAAGGUUGAAACUCAAAAGAAUUGACGGGGGCCCGCACAAGCGGUGGAGCAUGUGGUUUAAUUCGAAGCUACGCGAAGAACCUUACCAGGUCUUGACAUCUUCUGCCAACCUAAGAGAUUAGGCGUUCCCUUCGGGGACAGAAUGACAGGUGGUGCAUGGUUGUCGUCAGCUCGUGUCGUGAGAUGUUGGGUUAAGUCCCGCAACGAGCGCAACCCUUAUUACUAGUUGCCAGCAUUCAGUUGGGCACUCUAGUGAGACUGCCGGUGACAAACCGGAGGAAGGUGGGGACGACGUCAAAUCAUCAUGCCCCUUAUGACCUGGGCUACCCACGUGCUACAAUGGAUGGUACAACGAGUCGGGAAACCGCGAGGUUUAGCUAAUUUUUUAAAACCAUUUUCAGUUCGGACUGUAGGUUGCAACUUGCCUACACGAAGUCGGAAUCGCUAGUAAUCGCGGAUCAGCAUGGCGCGGUGAAUACGUUCCCGGGCCUUGUACACACCGCCCGUCACACCCUGAGAGUUUGUAACACCCAAAGCCGGGGGGGUAACCUUUUAGGAGCUAGCCGUCUAAGGCGGGACUAUUAAGUAGGGUGAAGUCGUAACAAGGUAACCGAAGGGC
rnacentral:rRNA from 1 species